rnacentral:rRNA from 1 species
AUUAGAUACCCUGGUAGUCCACGCAGUAAACGAUGAAUACUAAUUGUCCGGGGCGAAUGAGCCCUGGGUGAUACAGCGAAAGCGUUAAGUAUUCCACCUGGGGAGUACGCCGGCAACGGUGAAACUCAAAGGAAUUGACGGGGGCCCGCACAAGCGGAGGAACAUGUGGUUUAAUUCGAUGAUACGCGAGGAACCUUACCCGGGCUCAAACGGCACAGGAAUACUUUUGAAAGGAGGUAGCCCUACGGGGCCUGUGCCGAGGUGCUGCAUGGUUGUCGUCAGCUCGUGCCGUGAGGUGUCGGCUUAAGUGCCAUAACGAGCGCAACCCCCACCGUCAGUUGCCAGCAGGUAAGGCUGGGGACUCUGACGGGACUGCCGGCGCAAGCUGUGAGGAAGGCGGGGAUGACGUCAAAUCAGCACGGCCCUUACGUCCGGGGCGACACACGUGUUACAAUGGCAGGUACAGAGAGAAGCCAGGUGGUGACACCGAGCGGAACUUCAAAGCCUGUCUCAGUUCGGAUCGGAGUCUGCAACCCGACUCCGUGAAGCUGGAUUCGCUAGUAAUCGCGCAUCAGCCAUGGCGCGGUGAAUACGUUCCCGGGCCUUGUACACACCGCCCGUCAAGCCAUGGAAGCCGGGAGUGCCUGAAGUGUGCGACCGCAAGAAGCGCCCUAAGGUAAAACCGGUGACUGGGGCUAAGUCGUAACAAGGUACC